CAUCGUACGCACUUCAGCGGAAGGCAUUUCAACACAAUACCCUUUGAAAAUUCGCAAUAUUUACAAACGGUCACAAUCAAAACAUAAACAAUAAACACGAACUGGAAACCACCUUUCUCUACUACGGUUUAGUACUGACUGUAGCGCCCCGCAAUGAGACCACGAACUACAUUAACUGUUGUUUGGGUAUCGCAACUUUCACAACAUGCGCACAUAAAAAGUAGUCCCAUGUAAACAAUGACUACGAAAACGUUUUGCAAUACUUCUCGAAGAGAUACCGCUUGACUUUUGGCUAUUAGAAAAUAUCUUUUAUCGAAAUCCAAAAUUUCGUAGCAUUAAAUUCGCAAACGGCUUUCAAAUUAUGUAAACAAUAUGGGAACCUCGGCGUAGGAAUUCCGAAUCAAGGUUACGUUACGUCUACACUUUAGCGGACGCUAGUGGCAGACAUGUGAAUGUGACAUCACAGUAAAACAAGUGGCAUCAUUUAUGAAGAUACAAGAUCAUUUGGAAAAGAUUUCCAUCCGAACUUCUGGCCAGGUAUAUGGACUUACAAGCCAAUAGGACACGAAUAAGCGCAGCAAUAAAAUCAUUUGUAACCUAUACGAAACUAAUAAAUGUAAGAGACUGCUAUGUCAAAAAAGUAAAUAAAAAACAAAAUAUUUAUCGUUCAUUCAAA